rnacentral:tRNA from 1 species
CCUGGAGUAACUCAGCAGCAGAGUAUCCGGCUGUUACCGGAAUGGCGCACGUGCGAGUCGUGCCUCCAGGU